GAUGAACGCUGGCGGCGUGCCUAUCCCUGCAAGUCGCGCGCACGGACGAGAAGCUUGCUUCUCUGAUGUUAGCGGCGGACGGGUGAGUAACACGUGGAUAACCUACCUAUAAGACUGGGAUAACUUCGGGAAACCGGAGCUAAUACCGGAUAAUAUUUUGAACCGCAUGGUUCAAAAGUGAAAGACGGUCUUGCUGUCACUUAUAGAUGGAUCCGCGCUGCAUUAGCUAGUUGGUAAGGUAACGGCUUACCAAGGCAACGAUGCAUAGCCGACCUGAGAGGGUGAUCGGCCACACUGGAACUGAGACACGGUCCAGACUCCUACGGGAGGCAGCAGUAGGGAAUCUUCCGCAAUGGGCGAAAGCCUGACGGAGCAACGCCGCGUGAGUGAUGAAGGUCUUCGGAUCGUAAAACUCUGUUAUUAGGGAAGAACAUAUGUGUAAGUAACUGUGCACAUCUUGACGGUACCUAAUCAGAAAGCCACGGCUAACUACGUG
rnacentral:rRNA from 1 species